GACGUAGGGCGCGAGCGUUGUCCGGAUUUAUUGGGCGUAAAGAGCUCGUAGGCGGUUUGUCGCGUCGAAUGUGAAAACCCGGGGCUCAACCCCGGGCCUGCAUUCGAUACGGGCAGACUAGAGUUCGGUAGGGGAGUCUGGAAUUCCUGGUGUAGCGGUGAAAUGCGCAGAUAUCAGGAGGAACACCGGUGGCGAAGGCGGGACUCUGGGCCGAUACUGACGCUGAGGAGCGAAAGCGUGGGGAGCAAAGCAGG
rnacentral:rRNA from 1 species